rnacentral:lncRNA from 1 species
CCUUCUCAUGAUCAAUGAACACUAUGUGCAAGUCCUUCUUUCUCCCCCUAAACUGCUCCACUAAUCUUCUCACAAGAUGAAUCACCUCAGUAGUCAAACGACCUAGCAUAAGAUCAAACUCAAAAAUAGUCACGAUUCUUUUCAACCUCAGCCCUACUACCCAUUCCCAAACCUUUAUAGUAUGACUCAACAAUUUGAUACCCCUAUAGUUGUUGGAACUUUGAAUGUCUUUCUUGUUCUUAAAAAAAAGGAGCCAUCAUAAUCCAUCUCCAACCUUCGAACAUCUUUGUCACCUUAAAAAUAAUGUUAAACAACUUUAUCAACCACUUCAAACCUGCCUCGUAGUUCUUUUCUAAAAGUUUACCAAAAUCUCAUCCAACCUAGUCUUCCUACCUCUUUGCAUCCUAUGAAUAGCACCCUUGACCUUCUCAACCUUGAUACACCUACAAUAAUUGUAAUUGCGACACCUCUCUGAAUGCUCUAAGUCUCUCAACACAAAAAUUUUGUCUCCCUCAUAAAAUAACAAUAAUUAAAUUUAGAAUUUCAAAACAUUAUUAAUAAUAUUAGUUGACUAAAAUAGAUCUCUAACUAAAUUUUUGUAAGGAAUAUGCCAGGUCAAUAUGGCCAAAUAAAUUGAAAUUGAUAGUACAGUAAUCAUACUCUUCAUUAAUGACUAGAAGUGUACCACUUCAUUCGUCCAAUAAAGACCAAAUAAUAUGAAAUGUUGAAAAGUAAUCACUCUCUUCUUUGAUGAUCACUAGAAGAGUAUAAUACUCUGUUCAUUUUUACUUUUUGACUUUUGACUUUGCACGUCCCUAGGUAGAAAUCAACCUUGGAGUAGAUCGGGACAACUGGACAACCUUGAAAUUCUACUCCCUCAUGCUCAUGGUAUCCAGUUGGAGUGCUGAAAACUAAGUUGAGUUAUUAAGCUCUAAGGGAAAAAGCAGUAGAGAUGCAACAAAUUCUUCCUAGGUUAUGGGAGGUGCAUCUACCCCUCUUGAAUCUUU